CGUACCUUUUUUCUCCCCUCACUCCGUGGCAGCCGCCCCCUCGUGGCUGCGCCUCCUCUCCUGGUCGCCCCUCCCCUCCCUUCCUCUUCGUGGCCGGCCCUGCAUCCCCACCGACGCACCCGGCCUGCGCCACCGGCGGCGCCCCACUCCACGGCUCCACGCGUCCCCUCCCCCUAACCCGGCCGGCCCAUGGUGAAGGGGCGCGCGAUGGUGGCCGACGCCAGCCCCGCGAAGCCCCGAGCCCGGUGUGGAGGCGGCGCGCGGGUGCCGCCCGGAGCAGCACCGCGCCGCGCCGAGCUGCUGCCGCGGUCGAUGGAUCCGGGGGCGCGGUCGAUGGAUCCGGGCAGGUACCCUCUCCCUAGAUCCGCGUGCUAAGAGGUCAGCCCCAGGCGCGGCAGCAGGACGCAGCCCCCCGGGACGGAGACGAAGAGGAGCGCCAGCCCCGGGCGCCUAGGACACAACGGCCGCGGCGGGGCGCCCCUUGGCGUCCGUCGUCGGGAACCCGUUCUGGGCCUCCCACCGCUAUCCGUCGCCGAGAUGCCGUCGUUCCUGCCCUACUCCCCGCUCCCGUCAUGAAUUACCCACUGAUGCUGUUCGAGUGGGGAACCAGACCUGGAGGAUCCCUGCAGCAUGCUGAGCAUUGCCUGCCCGCCUACAGCAUACUGCUCUCCAGGCAGCCAUGUCCAUGCAGGUAAUCUGUUCGAUGAAAUGGCCCUGGAGACACUAGCUGCUAGUUGCUGCACUAGUGCUUAUGCGUAUCUAAGGAAACCAGGAGUUUGUGUCAGCUUGCGAACUCUGGUUGUUAUUUUGUAUGCAUCCCCUCCCAAUUUGUUGUGCUUUUUUUUGCCCUAGUCCAAUUGUUUGUUCAGAUCAAAUGAUAUAUAUCCUUCAAAAGUUAUAUCAUUGAGAAAUAUUACCUAUAUUCUGCUGUCGCCUAAGACUUUUGUAUGGCUUUGAACUGAUGCAUCCAUAAUAAUAUGUGUGUGCUGUAGAUCAAUUUGGCUCUAGAACAAGCAACAUGUCGUUUUCAUGCUAUAGUGAUGCUAGACAUUUAUACUUAUUAGCCUAAACAUCCAUACCCGUCUUAGUUAAAAGAUAAAUUCAAUUGUCAAAAAUAGUGAAAAUUUCUUUACAUGGUGUUACUAAAUGGAGCAUAAAUGUGUCUAGAAAUUGCUUUUACUAAGGUUGACGAAAAGUUAAUUAAAGAUGAGACAAUAAUACUAAUUUGAUUUAAGUCACUAGCAAUAAGCAAACCUCAGCGACAACGUAUCAUGUUCUUGGGCUGCAACUAGGCCUGGGCAUAAUUAAUCAAUAAUCAAAUCGAAUUACCUGAGACUGAAACUGAAUUACCCGAAAUUGAAAAAUUUGGUCACAUGUUAUUUGCAAGGAUGUCCUUGAAAUAGCAUGCGUAGGUGGGGACUUGUAUAGCAUUGAGCAGCGCAUAUUGAUGUUCAACCUUCGAACCACUUCCACAAAUUUAUCAAAUCGAUUGUUAGUUUUACCUAACCGCUGGCGGAUCUUUCCAGGCAGAAUCCUUGUAUUCUCAUGAUUGAUCAUCUCAAAUUCAGGUUCUUCAGUCACUAUCCCUAGUUCUGAUGUAGAGUUGUCUUCUUUAUUGGUCAUUGAAGAUCUUCGGUCUCUUUCCCUAAACGUGUAUGAAUUACCUUUUCUGAUUUUGGAUUGUUUUCCUUCGUAGCUAGUUAAGUGGCUUGCAAGCUGAGUGAUUUGAGUCUCCAACAUCUUCAUCGUGUGUUCAAGACUUAGUGGUUUGAGCUUUUGACCUCGGUUACUUUGCUAUCAAUGUCCUCCAGAGCUUCAAUGUUCUCCAUAGCUUUGUCCACAGCCUUGAACUUUGUCACUAUGUCCUUAUUGAUUUUUGCUUGCUCUUUUGUGAAUUUCUUCAACUGUAAACAUAAAAGCAUAAUAUUCUGAAGCCAAAAUAGGCGUUUUUGUCCCU